rnacentral:rRNA from 1 species
UACGUAGGGUGCGAGCGUUAAUCGGAAUUACUGGGCGUAAAGCGUGCGCAGGCGGUUCGUUAAGUUCGAUGUGAAAGCCCCGGGCUCAACCUGGGAAUGGCAUUGGAAACUGGCGGACUCGAGUGUGGCAGAGGGGGGUGGAAUUCCGCGUGUAGCAGGUGAAAUGCGCAGAUAUCGGGAAGGAACACCCGUAGCGAAGGCGGCACUCUGGGCCGGAACUGACGCUGAGGAGCGGAAAGCGUGGGGAG